UGGCCACCGCCGCGAUGGCGGUGGCCGCGUCCGACGCCGACGACAUCCUGAUCCGUCAGGUGGUGCCAGAUGUUGGCGAAGCCGAAGAGGAGGACAACCUGCUGAACGCCGAGCACCACUUCGCGAGCUUCAAGGCCAAGUUCGCCAAGACCUACGCCACCAAGGAGGAGCACGAUCAUCGCUUCGGCGUCUUCAAGUCCAACCUCCGCAGAGCCAGGCUGCACGCCAAGCUCGACCCCUCCGCCGUCCACGGCGUCACCAAAUUCUCCGAUCUAACUCCGGCCGAGUUCCGCCGCCAGUUCCUCGGC
rnacentral:lncRNA from 1 species